CUCUCGCCUCCGAAACCCUAGCCUGCUGCACUGCUGUUUGUUUCCUUGCAAAAAUUUGUGAGUCAGAGGAGUGAGAGAGCGAGAGAAGCGACUGAAAAGCGGUAAAAGUCUCCUGAAGCUCGAAGCUCUUUCGAUACUACAAAAACGCGUCGUUUCAGUACAAUAAAACGGCAUUGCAUUGUCAACACUGCAUGCCGUUUAAUUAGCCCCAUGGUGCCUGCACAUUUGCGAAACGAUGGUCGUGGUCGCGACUGUAAU
rnacentral:misc_RNA from 1 species